GGACAUUGGUUCUCGAGUGUAAAGGCAGAAGGGAGCUUGACUGCAAGACUCACCCGUCGAGCAAAGACGAAAGUCGGCCUUAGUGAUCCGACGAUACCGAGUAGAAGGGCCGUCGCUUGAC
rfam:Oryza meridionalis cultivar OR44 (W2112) chromosome 5, whole genome shotgun sequence.